UAUAAGGGAAUGACCCACUACCUAAAUACAACCUUGAAAUGUGGUUAGGAAUGGAACAAAACCCAAAGAAUCAAUUACAUCCCCAAUCAGGGAUACUGGCAACUUGUUUAGCAGCUUGUGAGAAUAAAGAGGAAGUUGCUAAAACAGAAGAUGUAGUCAGUCUGUUGAUCAUGUGAGGGGACCAUAAGAUUUCUUAUUGCUAGUCUCACAGAGGCUCCGUAUCACUCAAACAGAGACAAGGGACCUCCAUAAAGAGGUUGAAGGUGAUAACAGGAGUCCACGUGUAAAUCUGAACCCUGGAGAUGCAUUGUUGGGAGAAAACUAGAAGCAAGAACUUGCCCUGUUUCCAGCUUCUUCUGAGACCUGUUUGAAAGCUGGCCAGCAGGAGUCAAGUAUUGUUGCUUUGCGGUCGACCAGAACACAGUCAAUUAAUGGAGCAAAAAUGGUACCUGUGGGAGGGAGAUCGGGGCUCUUUUGUGGGCCCUGGAUUGUUGCUGCACACAGAGGACCCUGACAAAAGGAAACGAGCUGGAUUCAGCUGCUUUUUUUGUUGUUUUUUUUUUUUUUUUUUUUAAGAGAAUGCUUGAUUUGAACAAGCAGCUCUAUAGCUUCCCUUAAAUCCUGCUGCUUAUUUUGUGCAGUUGGUUUCCAAGGAUCUGUGGUAAAAAUUUGAUCCCAAUAAGGGAAGUGAUGUCAUGUGAGCUGAAAAAGGCUUAUAUUAAGACAUCAUUUUAAGACUGAAAAAGAAAUGGAGGCAGGAAGAAGGAGAGGAUGUGGCUUAGUGGCAAGAAGAGAAGAGGAUGUGUUAGGGGAGGGCCAUGUGACAUGUGAGAUCCCAAGAGACAGGAGAUCUGCUUGGGGAGGGAAGGGAAGGCUGUUUGUGGAGAGAGCAGGGCGGGGAAACCACUGUGGGGAAGGGGGCAAAUUAUAGCUCUAGGCAGGGGACUGCUGCAGCCUACGAAACCUGAGCUGAGAGCCACGGAGACGCUGGUUUCAUUGUUGGUUUUCAUAGCUGGUGCACGGCUGUGCCCAUCUAAGGAUGCUGUGAGUAACAUCCUAUUUCUGACAAGUUCCCCCCACCCUCCAGCCCCUCUAGGUUGUCACUAAGCAGCGGGCCGGGUUCCCUGUAUAGCAGCUUCCCACUAGCUGUCUGUUUUACACACGCGAGUGCAUGUAUUUCAGGGCUACUCGGUCAAUUCCUCCUACCCUCUCCUUCCCCAGUUGUGUCCACAAGCCCAUUCUCUGUGUCUGCAUGCAUCUCUAUUCCUGCCCUGCAGACUGAGUCAUCAACAGCACUUGUGUAGAUUCCAUGUAUGUGCGUAACACAGGGCCAAGGCCCUGACGGUGUAUAAAGUCCUCUAGGCGAUUUUACUGUGCAGCAGGAUAGCGGAAGCACCCACUCUGCCUUGUAAAACCCCCGACAGUAUUUCUCUGCCUCUUCAGCUCUAAUGACAAUCUGCAGAUUAGUCACCUGCUGCUACAUCUGCCUCCCCAAAUAGUGGCUUUCUAUUUUAAGGUGCUUGGGAAUUUCAAGGGUAUCUUGUAAAAGAAUUUUUAAAAGACAGAUUUUGACUUUAUGAAUCUGGAGUGGGACACCCAAUGUCAACAUUCUGGGAGGUUCCCCCUUCUGAACACACAGAGGAGCAAGGGCUUACCCUCCACCUACCCAUGGCCUUGUUCUUGGUUCAAUUUUGGUGUCGUUUAUCAGAGUCCAGGUUGUAAGCUCAGACCACACUGGCUUCUGUUUUGUAUUUGCUAUUGAGUCUGGACACAUUUAUUAACCUUAUUACUUAUUCUUCACUUCUGACAAGAGAAAUCAACGCUAGGGCAGUGGUCCCCAACACUUUAGGCACCAGGGACCCGUUUUGUGGAGAACAGUUUUUCCACAGACUUGACGAGGGGAUUGUUUUGGAAUGAUUCAAACUCGUCACAUUUGCUCUGCACUCUAUUAUUAUUACAUCAGCUCCACCUCAGCUCUCCAGCAUUAGAUCCCAGAGGCUGGGGAGCCCUGCACUAGGGAAUGCCUUAGCGAUCCAGGGGUUAGGACUCUGCACUCUUACUGACAAGGACCAAGGUUCAACCCCUGGUCUGGGAACUAAGAUGCCACAAGCCAUGUUACAUGGCCAGAAAGAAAAAAAGAGAGAGAGAGAGAAAGAAACAGUAAAGCAAGCCAGCAGCUAGCUUUUUUCUGAUUUCUGUGGUAUAAAUAUAUCCACUAUGGCCAAUUUCAAGCUAGCAAUAUGACAUCACUGAACAAGGAGUUAGGAAGAAAUGUGCAUGUCUAUGAACAGUGUUUCCACCACAGAGAUACCAUCAGUGAAAGUAACCUCAAGAGAAAAGAUAAGAGUGAAUAGGUGAGCGAUAAAUAGGAAUGAUGAGUCUGAUUAUUUAUUACCUCUUAGGAAUAAAAUUUAUUUGAUUAUAUACUUUCAUUUUUUUUAAUAAUAUGUACGGUUAGCCUCCGGAUUACAAACUGUGUGAACAUUCAAUAAUAGGCCCUUGUUAGUUGAGGGCUGGCUCCAGCGCAUUGCUGACUUGUGAAAUAGAGGCAGUCACUGCCCUCAUGAAGCGUAUAGUCCAGAAGUGAAUGGGCGUGGUUCCUGUGAGGACAUGAAGCCAAAGGAGUGAUCAGUGGGGUAGGCAGAAAUUUGACCCCCAUAACCUUCACCGUCUGGUUGUUAUGACAACGAAUAUGUUAUGAUACAUGGUAAUGGGACUUUGUAGAUCUCACUGGUUUUAUAAAUUAGAAGACCAGGAAUUCCCUGGUGGUCAAGUGGUUAGGACUUUUCACUUUUACUGUCAGGGGCUCAGGUUCAAUCCCUGGUUGGGGGACUAAGAUCCUGCAAGUCAUGGCAAGGCCAGAAACAUUUAUAAAAAAUUUUUAAUUAGAUGACCUUUAGACAGAGAGGUUAUCCUUGGUUAUCCAAGUGUGUGUAAUGUAAUCACAUGAACCCUUAAAACAGAAGAGGGAGGCAGAAGCAGAAACCACAGAGGUUCAAAGCACAGAAAAGAUCUGAUGUGCUGUUGUUUGUUUGAGGAGGAAGGGAAUCAUGUCACAGGGAAAUGGCAACCACUGUCUUCUAACCACCAAAAGCUGACUUCUGUCAAUAACCAGUAAGUCUGAAAGAGGAACCUCCCUCAGCUGCCAGUGAGAACCCAGUCCUGGCAAAUACUUUGAUUUUAACCCAGUGAGACCUUAAGAAACACCAUUCCAGACACACCAUUCCAAGCCACACCAUUCCAGACAUGUGACCUAGAGAAACAGUGAGGCUUGUGUAAAACUGCUACAUGUGUGAUAAUUUGUUACACAUCAAUACAAAAGUAAUACAGUCAGUAAAGAAAGGAUCAAAGUAAUAGUUACUAAAGAAGAGCAGGGUGGGGAAGAAUAUGCCAACACUUUCAGGGAUUUAGAGGUGUUUGGAAUGUACAAGGGAACUUCCCUGGUGGCUCAGUCUGUAAAGAGUUUGCCUGCAGUGCAGGAGACUGGGGUUCCAUCCCUGGGCCUGGAAGAUCCCCUGGAGAAGGAAAUGGAAUGUGUGAGGAGAAGAGAGAAGAGACUGAAAGAUGAGAUGAGGUGAGUCUGAUCGUGAAGAGCGUUUUAAGCCAGGAGACUAUUUUCUAAGAGCAAAGGGAACCAGUGAACUGUUUAACAGAGCUCGCGUUUAUGGAGCAUGAGGAACACGGCACAGACUGGGAGCAGGCAUUCAGGAUCCCCGGCUUCGUCAGUCAGGGAAUCCGGCAAGCAGGAAGAGUGGCUUGAGGGUGCUGAACCCCAGACGCUGACCAACAUCUGCUUGCUUGUUCUUUCUCAUCUCAGUCACUCACAGCACCAGCUACGUGCAGGGCACCACUCCAGGGGGCAGGGACACCCACUGCUCCAAGCUCCCAGACCUCAGCAGGGCCUUUGUUAUUGCUCUUGCUUUUCCAGAAGUCAUGUGGAGUAAGAUAAAUACAGUUUAUGGAUUCCCACAACUAGUUCUGCCACUUAUUAAGCCCACAAGCCAGGGCAAGUCACUUAACCUUUCUGAGUUUCCCUUUCCUGAUUUGUAAAUAACUAUUUUAGCUACUUCAGAAGGCUAUUGCAGGAAUCAAAGACAAAGUAUAUAAAAACUUUAAAUGUCAUGAAAGCCCUGUUCGGAUGAUCCACUUUCCUCUCUUUGUCUGUCUACCAUCCAUGUGCUCUAGUUCUUCUCAUAUUCUUUUUUUUUUUCUCUCUCUUUCCUUUCAUUGUUUUCUUUAUUAAAUUAGUUCAACAAAUAUUUCUUGGGAGCCUGUGCUAUUCAUUCAUCUAAAUGUCUGUCCAUGUUUGCUUUACACACACAUAUUCCCAUCAUGGAGCUUACUCUAUGAACACUUAAGGAUACAGAGCAAAGCUCAUAAUGUAUUUUUAAGUGGAAAAUAAAAGUGAUUACAAAAUAUGUUUGAUUGACAAGCAGGUAUUUUGGUGAAUAUGUGUGUGCUGCAUGAAAGGGAGCAAGAGAGAAAAAGUACAAAUAUAUUCAUAGAGCUAAAGGUUAGAAAAUAUACCUCAAAACAUUAGUAGAAUACCUCUAGAUGCUUUCAUUUGGCUUUGUUUUCCCAUUUCCCUGUAUUUUUCACAUUUUCUGCAAGAAAUACAUUUUAUAAAUAGUAAAGCAGCCCAACAUGUUUUAAGAAAAAUACAAGACGUCAAAUGCUAGGAAUAAGUUAUCCAUAGGAUAUUAUGGGAAUGGAUGUUUCUGAAUUAAAUGUUGACUGGGUAGAAUCUCUAUGCUUAGCUUUGAAGGAUAAAAAGCUCUUUAGGAAAGACCUUAGUGAAUGGCAUUCGGGAGAAGGACCCGAGGUGUGCAGAUGCUGGAGUGGUCAGCUCCUGUCACCUGAGGUGUGUCCUGGGUCACACUAGGAGAUGGGAAUUAGAAGCCAUGCUAUGAAUCUUAGUUUUUAUCCUCUAAGUACAGAGGCAUUUAAGCAGAGGAUUCAUAUAGUCAGACCUUCAUUUCUAUAGAUUACAGUGGGUGGCAGUGUGGAAUGCAUAGUAUAAAGAGGUUAGAAGCUGACAGGAAGCAUGGAAAUUUGUCAGGACGCUAGUGUCCAAGUAAAAGACAAUGAAGGUCUGGACCAGAACAAUGUAGUGAGAAAGGAGAGAAAUAUUUUAGGGAUAGUUGAGAAUUGUUUAAGGCUUAUUUCCCAUUCUGCCUGUGUUAUACUAUAUUGUUAAAUUAGCAACACUAUAACUUAUUUAAGAAAGUGUACUUAGGUGCCUAUAUAAUAUGCCUGCAUAAUUUUCCAACUGGAAGAAAAGUAUCAAAGGGCAUGGGAAAGCUAAGACCCAAAGACCUUGGAAGAUUUCAUAAUUUGGCUUGGGUCUCACUUCUGCAAGCCCAGAAGAGACAGUCAGAGUUAGAAAAUGCUUCCCUCCUGCCCGAAACUAAGCUGUGGGGAGAUGGGAAACAGCAGAGGGCCUGAGAGACUCUGGAGGAGGACCCACCAACGUACAUGGCAGACAAGACCAGAUGAGCAGCUGUGGUGUCAUGGGCAGUCAGAGAGCAGGCUGCGCAGUGCUGUGACUUGGAAAGAGACAGGAGGGAUAUGUGUGUGUGUGUGUGUGAUGUUUGGCUUUUUCUGAGUCAUGUUUAGUUUUUAUAACAGCAGACUUUCCAACUGGCAUAAAGACAGUCAGGAGUUAAGAGAGAAAGCAAAGCACCUAAGUAUGUCAUGCCAGCAGGGUGCCAACACGAGUUUGCUGGCAGUUAGAAGCAGCCUGGCUGUCUGUGCUAAGGAGGGACAUGGGCACAGGGAGGAAUAAAUUCCUGAGCUCUUCUUUGGCCCAUGUUUUUACUUUGUUGACUUAAAAAAUAAUCACAACCUAAAAACUGAGAGUUAUGUUUUAUUUGGUAGGAAUUUUUAGGACUUCAAGGCCAACAGACAGCAUCUCAAGUAAUCCCGAGAGAAUUGCUCCAAGGAAGGGCGGGCGGGAAGUAAGGGGUCAGGUUAUGUAGAAGUGAAGUGAAGUCGCGUCUGACUCUUUGUGCCCCCAUGGACUGUAGCCUAACAGGAUUCUCCGUCCAUGCGAUUUUCCAGGCAAGAGUACUGGAGUGGGUUGCCAUUUCUUCCUCCAGGGGAUCUUCCCGACCCAGGUAUCGAACCCAGGUCUCCCACAUUGUAGGCAGACGCUUUACCUUCUGAGCCAGAAGUUUGUAACAAAGGACUGGUAGCCUGAACAUCAAGAGAUUGUUGUGAAUUAAAGAAGCCUAGAUAUCUCAAGUUAAGGAGGUUAGCACCUUUUUAUGUGUGAGAAGAUGCAGGAGUCUGCUCCCUGAAAUCAUUGCUUUCAUCAUCUCAGCUGGGAUUCCGUGGACCAGGAGGACUUAAAAUAACAAUCAUUUGCAGCUUUGCAGAAAAUAAGAGAAACUUGUGAGAGUGAGCUUUCUACAACAGGAUAACAGAGGAUUUAAACUGAACCAGCACAGAAAGACAGAGGUAGAACUCAGAGGAAUACUUUUUUCUAGUGAGGUCUGUUCUGACUUUCAAAGGGAUGUGCCCCCUCUAGCCCUAUAUUAAAGUAUACUUGGUGUUUGGGAGGGUGCUGUCUUUGUGUGUUGAUUUCUUUUAAUGAAGGUGAAAAUUCUUUCCUUGGCAGUAAAGGCCCAGAGCAGAGGAAAUAUAGUGAGGUGGCAGUGGGCGGUGGGGGUGGCGUGGCAGCUGUCCUCAGAUUGGAUACCAGGAAACAACCUCUCAUGUGACCUCCAAGAACCUGAAGGCUUGAGGAAUCACUUUUCUGAGAAGUCUUGUCUAGCAAACGCCUCACCCACAGCUUCUUCUAGCCAGUAAGUCCUAAAGCUCACGGGUUAGCAGGGCAAGAGCAUCUACCUUGAUCUCUGGUGCCCUGGAGUCCUGCCCUCCAAAAUGGCUCAGAGAAGCCAGCAAUUUCCUUUUCUGGCUUUCUUUUCCCUUUUCCUAUUGCAUUCUACUUCACAGGCAAAAGAAUUAUCUCCUGUUUCAAUUCUGGUUAGGCCCACUGCUGCUGCUGCUGCUAAGUCGCUUCAGUCGUGUCUGACUCUGUGCGACCCCAUAGAUGGCAGCCCACCAGGCUCCGCAGUCCCUGGGAUUCUCCAGGCAAGAACAUUUCGCUUGCCUUUUCUUUUUUUAAAAAGUAUUUGUUUGGACUGCACUUCUAUGAGCUAGGUCUUGUUCUGGGAGGGGCUGAAAUUGCCUGAGGGAGGCUGUGUGGGUGGAGUAAGAAAAUCUGAGUGGGAUUCCUACACUGAUAAGCAGAAUAUCUAGCCAGGAGACCUGAAUCCACUUGCAAUAAAGAAGAUAAAGUUAAAAAAAAAACAAAAAAACACACAGAAAACGUGCUGUAGCAAGUUACAGCAUAAUUUGAAGAAGCGUAUCAAGCUUAUCAGGUCAAAGCUAUGAUUUUUCCAGUAGUCAUGUACAGAUGUCAGAAUUGGACCAUAAAGAAGGCUGAGCGCUAAAGAAUCGAUGCUUUUGAACUGUGGUGUUAGAAAAGACUCUUGAGAGUCCC